AAAACAAAACAAAACAAAAACAAAACAGUGAAAUCUAUUCAGAACAAAAUACGAAGGGUGCGACUGUUGCAGAGGAGCUUGGAAUUUGUACAAAUCCACAGAGAGAAAGGGAGAGAGGGGGAGAGAGAGACAGCUGCAGAAUUUUAACUCAAAACAUGCUGGCCUAUCAACAAAAAGUAUCCCCCAAUACAAUAACCACUCCUACCACAUGAAUUGCUGCUGCACUCCACUCCACCAUCUUCUGUCACAUGUAUUUGAACAGGCUUAGGACUCGGGGCAGGAGCUGAUGACGACAUCUAUUUCGAGUGCGUUACGUUAUGGGGAUUUCUAAAAGCUAGACUGCGAAGAUAACACGCUGCCAGCUUUAACCUGUUGCUCUUCGGUAUGCUCAAGUAACAUAGCAAGGACUUCUGCCUGUGUUUUGGUUCCCUUGCUAAAACCAAGAAGCCAAGGUGCUUCCUUCUGGGCAAAGUGAAAGCUCUUUCUCUCCUUCAGAUAAAGGAAAAUAUGCCCUAUUCUCAUGCUCUGAAAAGUGUGAAAAGGGGACUGUUCAGCUAAAUCACAUCUUGCUAUCAACCUCCUGAGCACAAUGCUGUAAUCUUUUCCUCUUCUCCUUCCACCUGUUAGCAAUUAUCUACUUGUGACAGCUACAUAAAACAGUUUAAAUUUUAACACUGACACUCAAUCAAAGGCAUUUCCAGGAAACAAAGUCUCCUUAAAAAUAAAAGAGAUUAUGCAACGGAAUCUCCCUAACUACUUUGAUUUUUAUUACUGUGAUUGUUUAUAUUGUCUCUUGAGAGCAGGUCAGCUGUCCAAAAGGAAACACCAAAACGUCCUGAGUAACAGCUGACAAUGCUCAAAAUUCUUGGUCUUAGAUCUGCAUUACGUAACUUUUCUACUAGAGGGUAGCAUCUCAAACAUGUACUACAGCAGCGGCAGCCCCUAACCCAUCAACCACGCACUCUGCAGCCAACCCAAUUCACUCAAAGUCCUGUAACAGGCACCUAUUUUUUUUUAAACCUUUUAGAUAUUUAUUCAACGUAAUUUCAGUAUUACUUCACAGCCUAUCUUAAGUGUUUUGAUUCGCAAUAGUUACAACAAAAAUGUAAGACUAUCUAUGCAAUAUGAAUCAAUACAUUUAAGGUAUCAACUUAAUAAUUCAUAAAUCAUUGUUAAUAACUUAAAUAUAGGUACUAUCACAUGUAGGAACACAUUAUCACAAAGCAGCCAUACCAUAUUGUCAGUGUCACUUCACCAAUUUGUCAUAGCAUUUUAGAAUAUAAAAUUUCUAGGAAAUACUAUGAGAAACAAGCAUAUUCGAAAUAUCAAGAAAGAUUCCAGAAAAGGAGUAUAUUCUUUACCCUGACUACAAAUGAAUUUUAAUUGCAACUUUUUUGAGGUGUUGAUCUUUUGCUUCUGAAAUUCAAAGAAAGUAUAUACUUACCUAGGCAUCAAUUACUAUUAUGUUUAAUACUUUUCCAUGAAGAUACUAGGGAUGAAGUGAAUGACAAAUCUAUGUCAAAUUUUUGAACUUGUUCAUUUGUAGUGAACUUUUUUCCACUAGCUGACCAUUUAGAAACAUGUUUAUACAUUUAAUAGAAUUAUGUACUGUAGAUACUUCAUCUGGCUGGCACAGCUGAUCUCAAUACUCAAGAUACAGAUGAUCCACCCAUGACUGACACAAAAUUAUGUGCACGUUUCAUUCAACAACACUGUUCUAAAAUUAGCUCAGCUGAAAUAAGCUUGCAAAAAUAUCUGAAAUUCUCAUUUCAGAUUAGCAACAUUUGUGAAUUUAAAGAACCCGGCACAUGUGUUGCUGAAACGUUAGAACAUGGCUGCCAAAAAGUUAAAAUAAUCAGGGUGGGGUGAAAGAAAAGAAAAUGCUUUGGGAUGGGGAGGGGCCAAAACUACUGUGUUGCAAUAAAUGAAUACCUUUAAAUGAAAUAUCUCCAAGUUAGUAGCAUGAGGGAAGAGCAAGCUCUACUAGGCAAUGCCAUUUUAAUUAGUGUAACUACUGCAGACAUCUGGCAAAUAGUUUAGACAAAGCAGAAAUAGACUACAAAUCAACAAAUACUUAUUGCUCCAGAUUCAAGAUAAAUUCAGUUGAAAAGUACACUAUGUAACAUGUAGUUUUUAUUUGAAAUUAUUACUCCUACUUUUCUAUGCCUUCCUUUCUCAAUUUUAAUCAUGUUUUUACCUCUACAUUCAUUUCAAACUCCUAAUUUUUCCUCAUUAUAAAAACUAUUUCGUAAAUGUGCAUAAGUUAAUAUGAUGUACCAUGUCAGUAUUUUAACAGUUUACAGGACUUUAAGAUUAGAAAUCAAUGAGCACUCAAUUACACAUCUGUUUUGAGAGCUUUAGUGAAAAAGCUCUGAAUGCCUCAUCACCACCUGAAAUGUUGAAAGACCUUAAUUUAAUUAAUUGCACUGAAAGAGAAAUAGACCCAUAAAAUCAUAUGGCAUUCAUGGUUCAAGUGAUUACUGUAACAUAGUUCUAGAAGUUCCAAACAGUACCUGGGGACUUAUGCUUUCAGGUUUUCUUAAUAUGCAUAGCUUGCAGAUGAGAGCUACGAUUAUUGGAAUAUCCGAGUUACAUUCUGUUUAAUAACAUACGGAUAUAUCAACCAAAAGGGCAAAAUGAAAGUGAAAAAAACGAGGGGAGUAAGAACAGAGAAGAGGAAAGAGCAAAAUGAUGCUCAGAGGAAAGCAGCAUUAAUUGCUGAAUUACCAAGUAGUCAACAAAAUCAAGAGAAAAUAAAGCAAUCGCUACAUUCUCAAAUUAGUUUCAUGCCACAAAGCAUUUCAUAUAAUCAGUAAUUUAAAAUUUGUUCACAACAAAAGAUAUGCACUGGUAAAGUAUACAUUCUCUUCUCAUUUCCUUUGCUCUAUCUCAAUUUUCCCAUUUCUUCCUCCAACUCCUCCCUCCUUUCCUCUAUUUCAUCUUCCUCGUCUCAUUUUCACUUCACACCAUCUUCUCUUCCAUCAUCUUACUGCCUCUUACCUGCCUCAGAAUUCUCAUUAAUCUCUCCUCACCAAUAUACUUGGCCUCAAAAAAAAAAGUUUCACGUACUGUUGUUUGUUUUCUAAAAUAUAAUUCAAAACAUACAGAAAAUUUCUAGCAUGAGCUGCUCCACAUACCCUAGCGAAACCACUUACAGCUUCCUGCUGAGGCUUUUGAUCAUCCCUCAAAUAUCCAAAGCAGCUACACACUCUUCUCCCUGCCCUAUAGCAGAUACUUGCUGUCUCCUUUUACACUUUCACAAACAUACGUGCUGCUUGUUCUCUUCUCUUUAAGAGAACAGUAUUUUGUUUGUAUAUCUGCAGCCAAGUACAAACGCACUCUCCCUCUUCUUUCAUCUCUCCUGUUUUCUCAUUCAGAAUCCCUCUCCUGCUCCCUUCUUUUUCAAUUUUGUCCUCGGGGAUCCUUCUCUCGGUUCCUCCCUGAUCAUGUUCUUGCAACCUUAUUCAUACACCGUACUCUCAAGAGUUUUCCUACAAGAACCAAACCUCCCUUACAGUACAGGAUGAUCAGAAAUUCCAUAGCAUUAGAAGACAGUUUAAAGAAGUUAAAACUUUGAUUUGGAUUCCAGAAGAAUUAAGUGAUCUGGGGAGACAAGGGCAGGAUUUCUGGCUUAUACAGGCUUUGAGGUAGAUGUAGAAAUUACAGAUUAAAGCAUCUAUGAUUUCUACGAUUCCUAAGAUAUUCAACAAAAUGUGUCUAUCCUGAGUAAUCAUUUAUGCAGUGCCAAUGCUAUAAAAAUGCUGUGGUACGGUUUUAGAUGACAAAAUUAAAAAGCCAAAUGCAUUCAUGCUGUAUGCACGAGCUGUUUAACACUGCCAGUGAAGAAAAGGCAUACUUUAAAGUAUAUACUUUAUACUAAAGGCAUACUUUAAAGUAAAGAUACUGCUUGACUGGUUUGUAUCCAAAAGGCGUUCUGAUUAUUUUUCUUGAUCAGGUUAAAACUAUGUAUCUUUUUUCUUUUACACACAUAGCUAUUUAAGCCUUUUGUACUUACUAGGGUUUUUAUUUCUCACAAAUACAUACGAAAAAUAAUAAAAAAUAUAAAAAUAUUGUUGCGUAUUAUCUGUGCUAUACUACAUCUUAAGUAUACAAUAAAGGGAAAGAAAAGGAUACUUCACCUGACUAUCUGGCUACAGUCUACCACCACUGAAAAUUCAUUUGCCAAGCUGUCACACUAAAUUGGAACUCGCUGACCCAUUUUUCAGUUUUUAAGUUUUGUAAGCUAGUAACAAAAAUAGAAUCUUGAAUCAAAGUAAUUUAUGUUUAUACUUACUCGAAAGUAUUUAGAAACAAGAGCAAAUGCGUAUUAAAAAUUUCCACUUCUGCAAACAUGUUGCCAUCAACUGAUAAAAAUUUGUAUUUUAUAACCUUGGUAGCAUACCAAGGUUCAUGGAUGCAAUACUUGGUUGAACCAAACAUACUUGGUUCAUGGAUGAAAAUCAGCCAAGGCAAAACCCAUUACAAAAAAAAACCAACAACAGCAGAUGUAGUACUCAUACUUCUAAAAUAGCCCAGCCCCAAAGCAGCUGACUCACGGUAACAUGCCUGCCUGCCUGGUGCCCUCCCCUCUGCGGGAAGCAGCUGCUCAGCAGAAGCUCAGGCAGCAGCACGGACAGUGUCAGCACUCGCUCUUCCCACAGACGGACGUGCCCAGGGAAGGUCGGACGAGCUGGUCAAGACCUCUGCAUGGCAAGAAGAAAGGGACAACUUUCAAGCUCCUUGUCGGACAGAUCCAAAGAUCAGAUGAAGUCACUUUUCAGUGGAGACAGCCUUCUAAAGCAGAAAAAAGUUGCUUGGUCCCAAUGAAGGAGUGACGAUCCCAUGUGGUACACAGCGGGAGACAGACAGCCCACGACAGGGAAGUAAUGCUAUUCUCCUGUUUAAGCGCAGAAAUUUUAUUCUGUGGCUGAGAACUAAUUCUGAAGUGAUAGUCCAAAACCAGUAUCAUAGAGAGAGAACAUUCUAUAGCGUUUCAUUACGUAACAGAGCCAGAAUAAGGACAGUAAAGAGGCCAUUUGGAUCCACAAAUUGGGAAACCACUGCACCAGAGGCACUUGCAAAACGUAGCAAAACAGGACAUCUGCUUCCUAAAACAGGAAGAUGACACCUCCAGACCCCUCUGCGCUAAUCACAAUAAUUUAAGCACACACUUUGCCUUCCAGGAUGCCCUGGCUUCUCGCCCUUACCCACCACAACAGUGGCUCACAGACCAAGCCUACCACAAGAUGGCCACAGCAGAUCCACAACGUGCCAAGUUCUGCUCCACACAAAAGGGACCUGUUGCUUGUACCCACUUUCUCCAGCUAGCGCAGGGCCACGACUCUUCUCUUGAUGCAACAGACACCAACUCUUUCCUUGCAGUCCACAAGCAAGUUCGGAAAUUCAGAGCCAUAUGAAUGAUAACUACAUAUAAAUGACCUACAUAGGUACAAAUGGGAAACGGUGAACCACCUGAAGACCUAAAGGUACCAAAGUCUCUCUUGAUAUCUCCUCUUCUCACUUAGACCACAUUUUGAAUAAAAAUGCCCAAAUUCUCCAUGUUGGCAGGCCCCUAUCUUCUUCUACCAGCAUAAGAGAGCUGUCCAUUACCAUGCCUCUAGCCACCCCUCACAAUGCACAACCAGACUUACAGUUUACAGAAAAUCUCAAUCUGUGGGUGCA